UAUUUGUAAAGCAAAAACAUGAAAGAAAAAAGAAAAAAUGCCACGCGUCUGCAGUCUAAUUGGGCCGCAUCAGUAUACGUGGGCCUUGGCAUGGCUAGAAGUGCCGCGCGGCCCGCGCGCCUAUCUGCGACAGUGGAGUGGAACGUGUUCGCGCGAGGACGAUGUGAGCGACGAAUUAGACUAUUCGGCUUCGGUUGCUCCGCUUUUGUUCGUCGCCCCCCAAAACCCUAGCCCAUUCCCUUCACCUGCUCGACAGCCUCCGCCGGCGACUGUGUUGUCGGUAGGCGGUGGUCCUAACAGCGGCGGCGUCUCUACGCCUGCUCGACGGCCUCCGCCGGCGCCUGUGUUGUCGGUAGGCGGUGCUCCUAACGGCGGCGUGGCUUAACGGCGGGGGCGGACGGCAUGCGAGGCGAGCCCCCGGCCGCCGGCCGGUGGUGCCUGUACCGUCUCGCUCUGCUGUCGCCUCUUCGCUCCCGCCUUCGACGCCACCGCCGCCGCUGGCUCCGAUUUCUUCCGCUCCCCUCCUCGCCGCCCUUCCCCUCCUCGGCAUCUCCCGUCGCUCCCCCAAAUCCCUCUUCCUCGUCGGCCGCUCCCCACCUCCCGUCGGCCGCUCCCCACCUCGGUGGCCUUCCUCUCCUCGCCGGCCGUUCCCCACCUCCCGCCGCCCCCCCAGAUCCCUCUUGCUCGGCGCCCCCCUCCCGCCCUGCCCGUUCGCGCUGUGCUUCCUCCGGUCCCGCUCCCGUGCCUGGCGGUGGUGGCGCAGGUGGCCACGGCGACGUAGAUACACGCGACGGAGCUCUGUGGAGGUACCCAGCAUCAGCUAUGUUCAUAAAAAAAAAUGAAUCUGGGUGAUGCAUGCAUACUCGGGUUCAGUCGGGGAUGUGAAUCACAAGGUGUUUCCCCUUUCUUUUGCCGAGGUGGGGUGGGGGUGGAGGGGACGAUGGGAAGAGGCGGAGGAGGAGGUGGAAGGCGCCGCGGGAGGAUCAGCUGGGGAUGGUGCCUACCCGGAUCUUCUCCAACGACGGGCGCACUCGGACGGCGACGGUGUACACGCACCAGGAGCGGCAGGGGAUCAACCAGGACGCCAUGCUCGUCUAGGAUGGGUUCAACCGCGAUGAUGACGACGUUCGACGGCCACAGGCCGCACGGCCACGCCCUACCGCGCAGGGUCCACGAGUCGCUGCCGUUGAGUCUCAUGUCAGCCGCACGCACCAACGGGGUGGGCAUGUCGGCCUUCGCCUGCCCCUACAAGGCCAUGCCCAACGACCUCCGCUUGCACCCUACCAGUUCGUCACUCUUGUGUCCGAUGGGGUUUUUGAUUUUAGGACAUUCAAGUGGUCAGUAUUAAGUCCUAGCGAUCCAAACCAGUCGAAUACUAAAAAUAGUACCACAGACCAGUCAUUCCCGGCAAUAGCAGGCCAUAGUCUGAUAUGAAAACUUAAUUAUUUUUUUUAUUAGCUGCUACUCCUCCAAUCCUGAUUGGUAUUUCUUAUGCUAACCAGUGUAACCUCUCAGGCCAAGUAGAAAAAUAAUAUUACAGUUGUAGCUGGGAACACAAGAACAUCAACAUCAAAUAAGGUUUCAGUUUGGCUUAUUAACAUGGAAACAAAUAGCUGGUCCUCUGUUGAUACAUAUGGAAAAGUCCCAAAUUUCUGAAUAUCGAGCUUUUUUGUUUUUCUCAACCACAUAUGCCGUGGUGGGCAAUCUGUAUCCCUAAUUGGUUCUCGACUGAUAAUGUUUGGUGGGGAGGAUAACAAGAGGCGUCUUCUGAAUGACCUUCAUAUACUUGACCUGGAGACAAUUAUGUGGGAAGAAGUUAAAACAGAGAAAUGUGGUCCACCUCCUAGGUAUGAUCAUUCAGCUGCUGUUUAUGCCGACCAGUAUCUUUUAAUAUUUGGUGGUUCCUUCCACUCUACAUGCUUUAGUGAUCUCUACCUCCUUGACUUGCAAACUGUUUGAAUUUCUAACUGCAGCGUCAUGUACGACCAGCGCUCCCUCAUCAUCUCCAGCGAUGCCGCCUCCUCAUCUCCACCUCCUUCACUAACCCUGCAGCGUCCAUGAGAUGUGGCCCACGCUGGUGCCCGAGGCCAAGGACGGCGGCGCGGACUGCGUCGAGAUUUAAUUAUUUAUUUGAUCUGCCCUUUGACUGCACUGCUAAUACUAUUCCUUUAAUUUCCUCACUGCAUCAUCUGUUGUUAGGCUUCCAGCACUCCUUCCACUAGACACGUACCUCCUCCACUUCUUAAUCCUCUGACGCCGAUCGAGGAAGAGGGCAUAUCAGCAAGCGGUACGGAUCGAGGUGGGGGCCAGCAAGCUCGCAGCGGAGCAGAUCAAAGUAGGGUGCACCACCAUGGUCUUCUCUGGCAUGGAUCUUGCUACGGGGACGGUGCAGAGGUCGACACCAUAAUGGAUUUUGCUCCCUCAACAUUAGCAGCUUGGACAUCGGUCAUGCGCUAGGCAUCAUCGCAAGCCGCUAAUGCUGGUUCGUCUCUGACUGAAGAUCAGCUUCCCCAGUGCCUCCUGCCCCCAAAAGGUCAAUUCUACACCCCCUUCCCCUCGAGUCAUACUUUUCUGCUUCAUCUGGUCAUUCCUGACAUAGGUUCAGAUCGAUCAUGUUCACUACUGAUCCUCUUCUGGACCUUUUGGUUAACCCCAUAUAGGUAUGCAGAGGUAGCAUCCGAUGCAUAUUCUUGGAUUUCGGUUCAUUCAGUUCCACAUAGGUGAAAAAGAAUGGCAAGAUGCAUCGGUUGCCAUUAGCUAGCUAUUGCGAGUCUAUUUUAAGUUAUGAAUGCUUUUUUCAUGUUUUAUCUAAGGCGAUGCAUCUGGUCAUUACACUACUCAUCAGAUUAGUUAGGUUUAGUUUGAUGGCAGAAUACCGUGUUUAUGCUGAGUGGAUGAUAUAUCUGUUCAGUAUCUUCGGCUUCCUAGCCUUUCCAAUAAAUUAUAUUUAAUUUGUUAAUUCAUUGCUCACUAUUUUUAUUAGUAGGAUGACCAAGUAUGAAUGCAUUGAUCAUGUUCAUUAUGGGGACAAUCUUAUAUUGGCACUGUUCUUGAAUAAGUCAUCAAUGAUUAUCUGUGAAACGAACAAUGUUGGCAUAUUACCAUAUCCAACCUUUCAAUCUGACCACUAUAAAGAUGGGAUGAAGAAUAUGAAGGUCACUGCUGACUUUAUCUGCAGCAGACCGGCUUAUCUUUUCCAAGUGCCAUGGCCACCUGCUGUGUUGCUCGAUACCUGUUAAUUUUCCACACAUCACAUAUGAGUAUUUUUUUUUUCUUGUGUUGAGUUGGGAAUUAUAAUGGAUAGAUGGCUUUCCCGCAUGUGAGACCCAAGACAUCAUCACUUGUGUGCACCAGCGAGUAAGCAAGCAUGUAUCUAGAGGUGGAAGGCAAAAUAAGUUCUUUCAAGCUGCCAUCCCUUCGUCAUCCGUAUCAUUUAUAACAACAACAAAACUAAUGAUGAUUUGACAGGUACUGAUCA